GGUUCUGCAUGUUCCGAGGUUCAAAACCAUCCACGCUUAGAUUUCAGUUUAGCGACUGUCAAAGGUAAAAAUGAUACUCAGGCUGGAGUAGGCAUUUUAGCAGUCAGCAACAAUUCCAAUGUAAACCCAACUCAAUUUCAGUUUUACCAUUUCACACUGAAAGUGCAGUAGGAGAGAAGCAUCUUAUUAGGUGAACCAUCACUACGGAGCUUGCUUGAAAAUUUGGUACAUGACUGCCAUUUACGAGCACUAUGUAUGUUUCGCACAUGGAAGAAGCACUAUAAUUGGAUGGACCAAAAUGAUCAGGAAAGUUAUAAACUAAACAGAGCCCACUAUAUCAGAGCACUGGAAUUGGAUGGACCAACAAUGUGGCUAAUGUUGACAAACAUCGCACCACGACCCUUGGCUACCUUUUGCACACUAAUGCAAUUUCUAUUUUCCAGUCUGAUAGCAAAUCGAGAAACAUUAACGUGUGCGGAAGGGGCGUCCUCUCGCACUAGCCACGUCGGAUAAGAAACGACAAAAUGAACGCAACGGGAUUGGUCAAAGUCGCUCACGCAUGUAGGAUUGGCCUAACCUAACCUGGUCUCGCUCAAGACUCCACGAGACCACGGCGCCUUCCCUCUUUGCCGCCGCCUCCUCCUCUCCUCUUCCCUCUUUCUCCCAUGCUAACUCUCGCCGCCGCCGCCUCCCCCAUCCCAGAUUCUUCUCCUCCGCCGCGCCAUGGCGCUCCCUAUGAUCGAUGUGCCAUCGGGUUCCACUGUUCUUUGAACUCCGUUGGGUGCCGGGGUGGUGGUCUUAGGAGGAGGGGAGGAGGAAGAAGAAGAGGACCAGGAGAGCCCCGCAGGUGCAGGGGAGGCCGUUCGCGGUGGAGAGGCUGGUGGCGCACAAGGCAUGGACGUGCCUGCCGAGUGCCCAGCCCGCUGACGGCGAUGGGUCUGGAUAAGUUCGGUGUGCUUUUAGGUUGAUUUGAUUCACUCAUUUAUUGGAUUGUGAGAAAGAAGCUACAACCCUUUGAUCCUGCCUGAAAAACAAAAGUAGCCUGCAGUUAAAUCUUGUAAUAAUUGUCCAUUGAAAUCCCCAAAUGACUACCCAGUAUGAGUCUCAUGUGGCAUCCCAAAUAGCUGUUGUGUCUCAAGG